rnacentral:rRNA from 1 species
GAUGUCGCCUGAAAAGUUUUGCAUGGAAUAAUGGAAUAGGACUUCGGUUCUAUUUCGUUGGUUUUCGGAUCCGAAGUAAUGAUCAAAAGAGACAGGCGGGGACGUUUGUAUGGCUGCGCUAGAGGUGAAAUUCAUGGACCGUAGCCAGACAAACUAAAGCGAAAGCAUUCGUCAAGCAUGUUUUCAUUGGCCAUGAGCGAAAGUCAGAGGCUCGAAGACGAUCAGAUACCGUCCUAGUUCUGACCAUAAACGAUGCCAACUGACGAUCCGUGGCGGUAGUUUCUAAACCUUCCCCACGGGCAGUCCCCGGGAAACCUUUAAGUCUUUGGGUUCCGGGGGAAGUAUGGUUGCAAAGCUGAAACUUAAAGGAAUUGACGGAAGGGCACCACCAGGAGUGGAGCCUGCNGCUUAAUUUGACUCAACACGGGAAAACUCACCCGGGCCGGACACUGUNAGGAUUGACAGAUUGAUAGC